rnacentral:snRNA from 1 species
GAGCCGCGCAAUAAGCACACAGCGAACUAUUCUUUCGCCUUUUACUAAAGAAUACCGUGUGCUUGCUGCUUUGAGUUGGCAUACCAUAAUUUUUGGAAGGGCUCUUCUCUUGUUAGAGUU